rnacentral:tRNA from 1 species
ACCUUCGUGGUGGAAUGGUCAGCACGCUGGGCGCAUAUUCCAGAGGUCCGUGGUUCGAGUCCCGCCGAAAGCG